UUUAACCCUAAACUCAUUUGAUU
rnacentral:snRNA from 1 species